rnacentral:lncRNA from 10 species
UCUGAAAUAAGCAUUUCAUUAAAAGCACUUUCAGCAGUAACUCUUGGGCAGUGACAGAGGGGCUUAGUUUUCCUGGUUGUAGCUGGGCGCCUAGGCUUGAUGCUAGAUUUAGGGUCUUCACGCUGCUUGGAUUUUGAAUAUAAACCUAACAGUAGCUUAGUUGGAAAUGCAAGUUGAUCUAGAGAACCCCUUGUGCUGGUCUACUUUGAGUCACACUUGGGGCCUGGGAUUGUUGUCCUGCAGCAGGGUGUGUGUUCCCUCCCUUCCCAACAGCCUGAAGUGUUGCCCACCUCCCAGGCACCCACCUCCAACUCACUUCUGAAGCAAAAUUUACUGAUAGUCACACUAAGGUGAAUCGAUAGAAUGAGUUCAAGGCAGGUUUGCAUCCAGCCCUGAGACAUGUAGGAAACACCUUUCAGACCCAGGCUCUGAAGAUUCCCAGAAGCCACAAGGAUUGAAGGGAAAAGGUGAUCCUGGUAACUGUUCCAGGAUUGCUCCAGGUUUGAGAUGGUAUUGCUAAAUUUAAAAUUAAACAAGAAACCC